UACGUAGGGCGCAAGCGUUGUCCGGAAUUACUGGGCGUAAAGCGCACGUAGGCGGCUUUGUAAGUUAGAGGUGAAAGCCCAGGGCUUAACCCUGGAAUUGCCUUUAAGACUGCAUCGCUAGAAUCGUGGAGAGGUAAGUGGAAUUCCGAGUGUAGAGGUGAAAUUCGUAGAUAUUCGGAAGAACACCAGUGGCGAAGGCGACUUACUGGACACGUAUUGACGCUGAUGCACGAAAGCUAGGGGAGCAAACAGG
rnacentral:rRNA from 1 species